GCCAGCCUAGAGUAACGGUUUGAGCGUUGGACUAUGACUCUGGAGAUCAGGGUUCGAAUCCUGGCUUGGCC